ensembl:lncRNA LINC02730 long intergenic non-protein coding RNA 2730
UGCACUGCCUGAGGCGGGUCCUUGAGGGAGUGCCUCCUGGGUAUUUGCUAGUGCUGAGUGCCCACAGCCUCUGCCCCCAAGUAAAUGCAGCUCCCUUUAGCCCCUUGAGCACAGGUGAUCUCUCCCUGCUGCCCUUUGAGAGGCUGACUACUGAUGAAGCCGAAACCCACCUCUCCUCUCCCUGCUCUGUUAGACCUGAAGACACAAAGUGGAAGGAAGGUGAGGAAGGCAUCAAAAAUCUGCCCAUCAGUGAGCUGCUCUGCUUCAAGGCUGCUCUGAUGGCACAGGGCUGAUGUGACUCCUGGGCCCGCAGCGCUUUGGGAAUCAAGCCUGAUCUUAGAGGUUGGCGGGUUCUGCUGACACUGUUUAACCUGGUGAAUAAUAAUAAAAACCUGGACCGGUCUGCUCAGAACCACCCAGCUGGGGCCAUCCAGGGAGAACACAGGGCAGAGACAUGCUGGCCUGAGCUGGAAGGCAGCUGGGACCUUGUAGCCUGUGAGAAUGACGUCAUCUGACAAGAGAAACCUGCAGAGUGAAGCAGAGCUACUCCACCGGCCUCCACACACUGCAGGACUCAAGAUGAGGAAAUGGAGGCUUCAAGGUCAAACCCCUUGCCCAGAGACAUGCAGCAGAAAGUGAUGAAGCUGAGAUUUGAACUUGCACCUGUCUGCCUGCAAAUCCCAUCUCUUCCUGCUGUGCCAGAGACAGCAGAAGGGCCCACGGCUGUGUAGAUGUGGCCUAUUAGCCUCUCAAGUCUAGAGCAAGCCCCUCAGUGUGGGGCCCCUCCCUAGCCGCACUUCCUGCCACACCUGUCCUUCAAGCAGCCGCCUUUCUUUAGAACCCCACGUCUACUGUGGUGAUCACUCUGCAUAGCUGCUUUAGAAACAUAUGAAGAUAACAGAAGGAUCUCAUCUGCAACCCAGAGCUCUCUGUGCCUGGUGGUGACUCCCAAGAAGCUCCCAUAAGGAAGAGGUCCCUCAAAGAACACACUGAACACAGUGGACCCUCUGCUGCCAAAACAGGCAGGGAAGCAUCUCCUGGAGCCUGCUUGGUCAGCUCUGCUCUCAGAAGCUUGGAGGGCAAACGGGGGUGACUGGACCCAGCUGGAAUAAUGGAAAGAAUGGGAACUAGCACUUAGAAGCACCUACUGUGUUCCAGAAAUUCUGGUGCAUUUAUCUGUGUAGCCUUCAAAAUAGCUCUGUUGGGUUGAUAGUAUUUUUGCCCCAUGUUAUGGUAUAAGAAACUGAGUUCAGAGAGGUUAGGUAACUUGAAUCAGGCCAUAAAGCACUUAAGCCCAAA